rnacentral:rRNA from 1 species
GAAGAGUUUGAUCAUGGCUCAGGAUGAACGCUAGCUACAGGCUUAACACAUGCAAGUCGAGGGGCAUCAGGAAGAAAGCUUGCUUUCUUUGCUGGCGACCGGCGCACGGGUGAGUAACACGUAUCCAACCUGCCCUUUACUCGGGGAUAGCCUUUCGAAAGAAAGAUUAAUACCCGAUAGCAUAAUGAUUCCGCAUGGUUUCAUUAUUAAAGGAUUCCGGUAAAGGAUGGGGAUGCGUUCCAUUAGGUUGUUGGUGAGGUAACGGCUCACCAAGCCUUCGAUGGAUAGGGGUUCUGAGAGGAAGGUCCCCCACAUUGGAACUGAGACACGGUCCAAACUCCUACGGGAGGCAGCAGUGAGGAAUAUUGGUCAAUGGGCGCUAGCCUGAACCAGCCAAGUAGCGUGAAGGAUGAAGGCUCUAUGGGUCGUAAACUUCUUUUAUAUAAGAAUAAAGUGCAGUAUGUAUACUGUUUUGUAUGUAUUAUAUGAAUAAGGAUCGGCUAACUCCGUGCCAGCAGCCGCGGUAAUAC